UACGUAGGGGGCAAGCGUUGUCCGGAUUUAUUGGGCGUAAAGGGCGCGUAGGCGGUUGGAUAAGUCAGCUGUGAAAACCACGGGCUUAACUCGUGGCCUGCAGUUGAGACUGUCUGGCUUGAGUGUGGGAGAGGAGAGUGGAAUUCCUGGUGUAGCGGUGAAAUGCGUAGAUAUCAGGAGGAACACCGGUGGCGAAGGCGGGUCUCUGGGCCGAUACUGACGCUGAGGAGCGAAAGCGUGGGGAGCGAACAGG
rnacentral:rRNA from 1 species